rnacentral:rRNA from 1 species
GCCUAACGGCCGAACCAGCAACUUGGAAGAAUGUAUAGCGUAAGCUAGUUGCAUUAACUUACUGUUAAUGCAGCAGCGACUAAGUCGUGUAAAGUUCAAGAUAGAGUUAUGAUGAUGACAUUAUCUAUCUGUGUGUCUCGACCAAAGUACGUGCCAGCAGUCGCGGUAAUACGUUAGAGACUAGUGUUAGUCGUCUUUAAUAGGUUUAAAGGGUACCUAGACGGUUAUUUCAGCCCCUAAAGGGUACUGUUCGAACUAGAGUUUUAUGAGAGGGGGGGUGUACUAAUGGUGUAGAGAUGAAAUUCAGUAAUACCAUUAUGAACAGGCAACAGCGAAGGCAACCCUUUAUGUGUAAACUGACGUUGAAGGACGAAGGCUCAGUCAACCAAUAGGAUUAGAUACCCUAGCAGUCUGAGCAGACAACUAUGAAUGCCAUAGACAAGGAUAAGUUUUACCUAUAUUAUUAUAUAUAGUAAAUUGUAUAAAAUCUCUAUAAAAUCGGUGAGACGAUAUUAUUCUAUAUCCAAGUUAUUAUACUUUUUAUUCGUAAACAUUUUGUCUAUAAAUGAAAGUGUAAGCAUUUCACCUCAAGAGUAACGUGGCAACGCGGAAACUGAAAUCAUUAGACCGUUUCUGAAACCAGUAGUGAAGUAUGUUGUUUAAUUUGAUAACCCGCAGUAAACCUUACCACAAUUUGAAUAUUAAUAUUACAAGAGUUGCACGGCUGUCUUCAGUUAAUGUCGUGAGAUUUUGGUUAGUUCCAUUAAAUUAACGCAAACCCUUACUUUAUUUUAGUAAAUAGAGUAGUUCACCGCUACAUUGGAUAUGAUAAUAGGGGACUAAGACAAGUCAUCA